UGGAGGUGUGGGGGGAUUGAACCCCAGACCAUUUGCACUCGAGGCGAGCGAUCUACCUCUGAGCCAUACCCGA